UAACGUGUGGGCAACCUGCCCUGCACUGGGGAAUAAUCAUUGGAAACGAUGACUAAUACCGCAUACGGUUCCUGGGAGGCAUCUUCCGGGAAAGAAAGGAUUUAUUCGGUGCAGGAUGGGCCCGCAUCUGAUUAGCUAGUUGGUGAGAUAACAGCCCACCAAGGCGACGAUCAGUAGCCGACCUGAGAGGGUGACCGGCCACAUUGGGACUGAGACACGGCCCAAACUCCUACGGGAGGCAGCAGUGGGGAAUAUUGCACAAUGGGCGAAAGCCUGAUGCAGCAACGCCGCGUGAAGGAAGAAGGGUUUCGGCUCGUAAACUUCUAUCAACAGGGACGAAAGAAAUGACGGUACCUGAAUAAGAAGCCCCGGCUAACUACGUGCCAGCAGCCGCGGUAAUACGUAGGGGGCAAGCGUUAUCCGGAAUUACUGGGUGUAAAGGGUGAGUAGGCGGCAUGGUAAGCCAGAUGUGAAAGCCUUGGGCUUAACCCGAGGAUUGCAUUUGGAACUAUCAAGCUAGAGUACAGGAGAGGAAAGCGGAAUUCCUAGUGUAGCGGUGAAAUGCGUAGAUAUUAGGAAGAACACCAGUGGCGAAGGCGGCUUUCUGGACUGAAACUGACGCUGAGGCACGAAAGCGUGGGGAGCGAACAGGAUUAGAUACCCUGGUAGU
rnacentral:rRNA from 1 species